rnacentral:rRNA from 1 species
GCUAAGGUGGUGCCGGGAGGUGGGGGUAGAGGAAUGGGGCUAGCGUUGUUCGGAAUUACUGGGCGUAAAGCGCGUGUAGGCGGUUGCCAAAGUCGGGUGUGAAAGCCUUGAGCUCAACUCAAGAAUUGCACUCGAUACUUGGUGACUAGAGGACCGGAGAGGAUAGUGGAAUUCCCAGUGUAGUGGUGAAAUACGUAGAGAUUGGGAAGAACACCAGUGGCGAAGGCGGCUAUCUGGACGGUUUCUGACGCUAAGACGCGAAAGCGUGGGGAGCAAACAGGAUUAGAUACCCGGGUAGUC